CCGUACGUGCCGCGGCCCGCCGCGCCGCGGCAUCCACCCGCGUGUCUGAAGUUCUUGUUCAGGUUGAAGGUUCGAGGCCCGCCGCACGGC
rnacentral:tRNA from 1 species